CCAACGAAGUUACAAUGUGGUUUCUUUUCUGAAUAGUUCGAAUUUGACUCAACCUCUACGUAGGAAGAAGAAAAUGAUUAACAAGGUAAAGGCAAGACACCUCUAUAUGGUUGAUGACGACAUUGCAAGUAAAGACCGAGGCACAUGCAUAGGAUAGUGAUAUUUCAUUUCUUAGACUUUAGGCUAAAGAGACCGAGGCUCGAGUCGAUGAAGAAGGA